CGCGGCCUGGGCCGGAGCCGCGCCUGGCGGGGCCCGGGGGAACGGGGUAGCUUUGAAACCAGCACAGAUGGCUGAGCUUGUUCAGAGGGAAAGAAGUAAAUACCUGGAGAAAAUGACAGAGACUCUUGGAAUGUGUGUGCAGCUCUGACACAGGAGAGAGAAAGCAUUUAUCUUUUCCAGCACCCAUCCCAUACAGAGGUGAAAUAUUUGCUGUCUCAGACACCUACGAAGCAAGACCACUCUGAAACACAGGAUUUGCGCAUCUUGAAGGGUA
rnacentral:lncRNA from 1 species